rnacentral:rRNA from 1 species
UACGUAGGUGGCAAGCGUUGUCCGGAAUUAUUGGGCGUAAAGCGCGCGCAGGUGGUUUCUUAAGUCUGAUGUGAAAGCCCACGGCUCAACCGUGGAGGGUCAUUGGAAACUGGGGAACUUGAGUGCAGGAGAGAAGAGUGGAAUUCCACGUGUAGCGGUGAAAUGCGUAGAGAUGUGGAGGAACACCAGUGGCGAAGGCGACUCACUGGCCCGAUACUGACGCUGAGGCACGAAGCGUGGGAGCAAACAGG